GUGCCAGCCGCCGCAGUAAUACAGAGGGUGCAAGCGUUGUUCGGAAUUAUUGGGCGUAAAGGGCGCGUAGGCGGUGCGGUAAGUCACCUGUGAAACCUCUAGGCUCAACCUAGAGCCUGCAGGCGAAACUGCCGUGCUUGAGGGUGGGAGAGGUGCGUGGAAUUCCCGGUGUAGCGGUGAAAUGCGUAGAUAUCAGGAGGAAUACCAGUGGCGAAGGCGGCUUUCUGGGCCUAUCCUGACGCUGAGGAGCGAAAGCGUGGGGAGCAAACCGGAUUAGAAACCCUUGUAGUCC
rnacentral:rRNA from 1 species